rnacentral:rRNA from 1 species
ACAAGAAAUAACAAUACAAGGCAGUUAAAAUGCUUUGUAAUUGGAAUGAUAGAAAUUUAAACACUUUUUAAAGUAUCAAUUGGAGGGCAAGUCUGGUGCCAGCAGCCGCGGUAAUUCCAGCUCCAAUAGCGUAUAUUAAAAUUGUUGCAGUUAAAAAGCUCGUAGUUGAAUUUCUGUUAAAAAUAACCGGUCUGCUUUUAAUAAAAGUGGUAUCUUGGUGUGUUUUUAGCAAUAAUGUCCUUUGAAAUGUUUUUUACUUUAUUGUAAUAAAUAAUAUUCAGGAUUUUUACUUUGAGAAAAUUAGAGUGUUUCUAGCAGGCUAACGCUUUGAAUACUGCAGCAUGGAAUAAUAAGAUAGGAUUUUAGUUCUACAUUAUUGGUUUUAAGAACUAAAUUAAUGAUUGAUAGGGACAGUUGGGGGCAUUUGUAUUUAACUGUCAGAGGUGAAAUUCUUAGAUUUGUUAAAGACAAACUACUGCGAAAGCAUUUGCCAAAGAUGUUUUCAUUAAUCAAGAACGAAAGUUAGGGGAUCGAAGACGAUCAGAUACCGUCGUAGUCUUAACUAUAAACUAUGCCGACUAG